rnacentral:rRNA from 1 species
ACGGAGGGCGCAAGCGUUAUUCGGAAUUACUGGGCGUAAAGCGCGGGCAGGUCGUCCGUUAAGUCGGUUGUGAAAAUCCGGGGCUCAACCCCGUGAAAUGCAAACGAUACUGGCGGACUAGAGAUUGGUAGAGGCUAGCGGAAUUCCAGGUGUAGCGGUGGAAUGCGUAGAUAUCUGGAAGAACACCAGUGGCGAAGGCGGCUAGCUGGGCCAAGUCUGACACUCAUCCGCGAAAGCGUGGGGAGCAAACAGG